rnacentral:rRNA from 1 species
ACGGAGGGGGCUAGCGUUGUUCGGAAUUACUGGGCGUAAAGCGCACGUAGGCGGACUGGAAAGUCAGAGGUGAAAUCCCAGGGCUCAACCUUGGAACUGCCUUUGAAACUCCCGGUCUUGAGGUCGAGAGAGGUGAGUGGAAUUCCGAGUGUAGAGGUGAAAUUCGUAGAUAUUCGGAGGAACACCAGUGGCGAAGGCGGCUCACUGGCUCGAUACUGACGCUGAGGUGCGAAAGCGUGGGGAGCAAACAGGA